rnacentral:tRNA from 1 species
GGUGACUCAGUGGUAGAGUGCUUGCCUUGCAUGCACGAGGUCCUGGGUUCAAUUCCUCAGCACCA